rnacentral:rRNA from 1 species
AACACAUGCAAGUCGAACGGUUAAAGCACCUUUUAUGUGUGUAUAAAGUGGCGAACGGCUGAGUAACACGUGGGCAACCUGCCCUCACUCUUGGGGAUAGCCUCGGGAAACCGAGGAUAAUACCCGAUACUUCAAUGUGGCCGCAUGACGACAUUGAGAAAGCUUUUGCGGAGAAGGAUGGGCCCGCGGCCUGUUAUCUUGUUGGUGGGGUAGAGGCCUACCAAGGCAAUGAUGGGUAGCUGGGUUGAGAGACCGACCAGCCAGAUUGGGACUGAGACACGGCCCAGACUCCUACGGGAGGCAGCAGUGGGGAAUCUUGCACAAUGGGCGAAAGCCUGAUGCAGCGACGCCGCGUGCGGGAAGAAGGCCUUCGGGUUGUAAACCGCUUUCAGCAGGGACGAGGCGUAAGUGACGGUACCUGCAGAAGAAGCCCCGGCUAACUACGUGCCAGCAGCCGCGGUAAUACGUACGGGGCAAGCGUUAUCCGGAUUCAUUGGGCGUAAAGCGCUCGUAUGCGGUCUGUUAGGUCUGGAGUUAAAUCCGGAGGCUCAACCUCCGUUCGCUCCCGAUACCGGCAGACUUGAGUUUGGUACGGGAAGGUGGAAUUCCUAGUGUAGCGGUGGAAUGCGCAGAUAUUAGGGAGAACACCAUUGGCGAAGGCGGCCUUCUGGGCCAUAACUGACGC